CGUUAAAACACCGGUUCUAAUACGAUCACCGAAGUGAAGCAAUGUCAAGCCUGGUCAGCACCUAGAUGGGUGACCGCUUAGGAAUACCAGGC